rnacentral:tRNA from 1 species
GGUGUAGCUCAGUUGGUUAGAGCGUCUGAUUGUGGUCCAGAAGGUCGUCGGUUCAAUUCCGAUCAC